rnacentral:rRNA from 1 species
AUUGAACGCUGGCGGCAGGCCUAACACAUGCAAGUCGAACGAGUGGCGGACGGGUGAGUAAUGUCUGGGAACCUGCCUGAUGGAGGGGGAUAACUACUGGAAACGGUAGCUAAUACCGCAUACCAUCAGAUGGGCCCAGAUGGGAUUGGCUAGUUGGUGGGGUAACGGCUACCCAAGGCGCAGAUCCCUAGCUGGGCUGAGAGGAGGACCAGCCACACUGGAACUGAGCAACGGUCCAGACUCCUACGGGAGGCAGAAGGGGGGAAUAUUGCACAAUGGGCGCAAGCCUAAUGCAGCCAUGCCGCGUGUAUGAAGGAGGCCUUCGGGUUGUAAAGUACUUUCAGCGGGGAGGCGUUACCCGCAGAAGAAGCACCGGCUAACUCCGUGCCAGCAGCCGCGGUAAUUC